AACGUAGGAGGCAAGCGUUAUCCGGAAUUACUGGGCGUAAAGGGCGUCUAGGCGGUAUGGCAAGCGGGAUGUGAAAGCUCCUGGCUCAACUGGGAGAGUGCGUUCCGAACUGCCGAACUAGAGGCCAGGCCGAUGGGGGUGGAAUUCCCGGUGGAGUGGUGAAAUGCGUAGAGAUCGGGAGGAACACCAGUGGCGCAAGCGGCCCCCAAGCCUGAGCCUGACGCUGAAGCGCGACAGCGUGGGGAGCAAACAGG
rnacentral:rRNA from 1 species